rnacentral:rRNA from 1 species
GACGUAGGGGGCCAGCGUUGUUCGGAAUUACUGGGUGUAAAGGGUUCGUAGGCGGUGUGGCAAGUCGGGAGUGAAAUCUCUGGGCUCAACUCAGAGACUGCUUCCGAAACUGCUGUGCUGGAGUGUGGGAGAGGCGCGUGGAAUUGCAGGUGUAGCGGUGAAAUGCGUAGAUAUCAGGAGGAACACCGGUGGCGAAGGCGGUUCUCUGGGCCUUACCUGACGCUGAGGAGCGAAAGCGUGGGGAGCGAACAGG